AAAUAGAAUAUUAUUGAUAGUUAAUUUGGUUUUUAAUAAGAUAAAAGCGCAUAAAUUUACAUUUAUUCACAUUCAAAAAUAAAUAAUUCCUUCUACACCUACACCACUAAACAUUUAUUGACACUGUAUUGGGUAUAAGUAUUGGUCCGUUUUCUGAAACAGAUCAAUCUUGUUCGAACACGCAAACCUUCAACAUCUAGAAGAAAAAAAAACGAAGAGUUACGACAGUCGACAACUACCGGCGCUUGUGACAACCAGCUGCCACCAUGCCAUUUCCACCGACGACGCAUUGUGGGUUGCCUACUUCACAUAAGUCGAAUGGACGGCAUACACCCGGCGAGCACCUCUCAGGAGGGUAAGUAAAUUUAAUCGACUAGGUACGGUUCGAUCCUGGCCAGACGUCCGUGGUCCGACGAACACCCUCGAUGUGCCAAACUCGUCGAACGGUGCCUAAGUCGCAGUGAAACGGGCAUCCGCGGUGCGUCCAACAUAUGUGCAGUGAAGCCGACUUUAGAAUAGUAAGUAAUAGUAUAAGUAUAGUAAAUAAUAAUAUAAGUAUAGUAAGUAAUAUCUCUGCAGUGAAACCGACUAUAGAAUAGUAAGUAAUAGUAUAAGUAUAAUAAAUAAUAGGUAGUAUAAGUAUAGUAAAUAAUAUCUCUGCAGUGAAACCGACUAUAGAAUAGUAAGUAAUAGUAUAAGUAUAGUAAAUAAUAUCUCUACAGUGAAACCGACUUUAGAAUAGUAAGUAAUAGUAUAAGUAUAGUAA